rnacentral:rRNA from 1 species
GCGAACGCUUGCGGCGGGCUUAACACAUGCAAGUCGAGCGGGCAGCUUCGGCUGUCAGCGGCGGACGGGUGAGUAACACGUAGGUUACCUGCCCUGGGGUGGGGGAUAACUGAGGGAAACUUCAGCUAAUACCGCAUAUGGCCUACGGGUCAAAGCAGCAAUGCGCCUUGGGAUGGGCCUGCGUCCGAUUAUUUAAUCCUAGUUGGCGGGGUAACGGCCCACCAAGGGUACGAUCGGUAGCUGGUCUGAGAGGAUGAUCAGCCACACUGGAACUGAGACACGGUCCAGACUCCUACGGGAGGCAGCAGUGGGGAAUAUUGCGCAAUGGGCGAAAGCCUGACGCAGCCACGCCGCGUGUGUGAUGAAGGCCUUCGGGUUGUAAAGCACUGUCGGGAGGGAAGAAGAAAUGACGGUACCUCCCAAGAAAGCACCGGCUAACCCUGU